UUUAAUAUUAUUAUUUUAAUGAUAAUUGUUACCAUAUUUUAAUAUCAUUGCUCAUAUUUAAUUAUUGAAUUAGUAAAUAUCUUUAUGCAACAAUUAUUUAGGUCUUGAAACAUGAAAUCUUAUUUUUCAAAAAAACACAUUUCUAGAAAAAAGUACAUUUCUACUUUUUGUUGAACGAAUGUCAGACAGAACAAACGUGAGAGAAAAAUAGGCGCGCAACCCCACGAAAGCAACACAUCUGAUAAGUGAUUAACAACCAAUAACAGACAAGGAGAUCACCACUCUUAUCUAACAGAAACAUGUCUACUUUCAAUUUAUCGCAUCUCUAGCCUGAAUUGAGACUUUUUUGUUCUUUGAAUAUUUGUAUUAUUCUUUUUUUUGCCGGCUUAACCUUUUAUUAUGGUUCAACAAACAACGGAAUUUUUAGACGAAGAGUUUGGUUAAUUUCAAACGCAUAGCGAAGUAAUUGGCUAAAGUUCCGAAAGACUUUAACUCGGAAAAUAAAUAUAAAACUAAUCGAUUACAUAGGACCGAUUAGAGUGAUCCGGCGCACCAUAUUUCAUCUUUAAUAGGAUUCUGCUACGAAUAAACAGGCUUCGGAUUUAAGAAUCAAACAGCGCAUAAUAAUCAAAAUUAUUUAACGCUUUAUGUACAUUAGAAGGUGGCAUUCAAAUCGCAAAUCGUCCUAUCAUAUCGCAAUAAAUCCCACCAAAUAAAGCACAACAAAUUUAUGAAAUAAUCUUUCGUCUUUAUUUUAUAUUAUAGAUAAUUUAAUAUUUCACAUUAUUACACUGUGCUUGAAGCGGGAACUUUUUUAUAAUUUCAUUUUUUUCCUUAGCACAAUCAACAGCUCUCCGCUGGUGUAAUUACAAUGAAAUACUACCAGCGUGAUUGUAUGCUUAUAGUUUUCUGACUAGCACAGUGCAGUCAAUAAUGUUAGAAUAGUUUAUAUAUGCGUAGCUUAAAUGAGCUACACGCUAUUUGAAUGGGUCAUUGAAGCUUUUACAAUAAUAUAUGUAUAUAUGUUACAGGUUCUUACAACAGUUUAGUUUUUACUUAUUUUUUUUAUUAAUAUCCCUCAAUCUAAUUAAAUUUUUUUAAUAUGUAUAUAUAUUUUUUUUUUUAAUAACUUGUUAUUUUUGGAUACUAAACUUAGAAUUUUUAUUUAUUUUAUGCUUUAAUUAUUAUUAUACUAAAUAUCAAUCAUUGGUUUUGUUUAUUGGUAAAAUUUUGUUCUUACUUGAUUUAAUUAACUUAAUUUUUUCUUAUUAAGUAGUUUUUGUUUUUAAUUAAGUUAAAGGAAAAUUAUUUAUAAUGUUUAAAUAAAUUUGAAAGAAAAUUAAUUUUAAAUGGCUUAGAUUUUUAAUAAAAUUUAUUAUAUAAAAUCCAAUUUAAAACUAAACUGAAUUUACAUUUUGUUUCCAAUUUCAUUAAUUUUAUGUCUAAAAUAGUUUUUCGCAUUUGCUUUUCGGUUUGUUUGUUUUGCUUGGCUUAAAUUAAUUGAGUUUAUGUACUUAUUAACAUGUGCUUAGAACUAUUCCAUUUUUAAAUGUAUAUAUACUAAAUGUACAUACCAUUUGUUAAACAUUUUCAUGUACUUUUCCAGUUGAAAAUCAAGUAUUAUUAAAUAUCAGUAUCAUAUAUGUAGUAGUCAUAUCAAUUGAGUACUAAGAAUCUACAAAACAAAGAAUACUUAUAAUUCAUCGCUUUUUUUAAGCACGACACAUCUAAAUGUAACUUCAGUAAAUAUUAUUUUAUUAUUAUUAAUUUCUUAUGUAUUUAUAUACAUAAUUAAAAUAGCAACUAAUUGAAUAGUAGAAUACAGUACUUUUAUUAUCUUCUAUGAUUUGCCCCGACUGGUCUCUUUAAUUUUAUUAAAAAAAAUUUUCGUAUAUUCCUACUAGUAACUGACAGUAGUGUUGUUUACCAUUAAAUACUGAACAGAAUAUGGUUUCUAAUUGUGAAACAAAAAUCUGUAGUCUGUCUGUUCUCAAUCAAAAAUUGGAAAAACUUCCAAUUCAAAAUUCAAUUGUAGAGGGCAAACCAAAGGAUCGAAGAAUUUUUUUAUAAUAAUUUAAAUUUUAUAAAAUAAAUAAAAUAUAUCUAUUGUACAAAAUAAACAAAUAGGCGUUAAGAACAAACGAUUCAAAAAUAAUUAUAGUAAGAUGACACCCGAAACAAAACAAAACAGCUCGAACGGCUAUAAGUAAUUGCAAAUAAAUAUUAUAAAAUAAAAGCGGAAAGAGGUCGUAGUAAAAACAAGUAUGAACCGGCAAAUAUAGUAACUAUUUCAGCAAGUUUUGAAAAACACAACAAAAUUUGUUAAAAAUAUACUGUUACGA